CAACCUGCCAUCCAGUGGAGGAUAGCCUUUCGAAAGAAAGGAUAAUACUCCAUGACCUCCUCAGAGGACAUCUGACGAGGAGCAGAGAUUUAUCGCUGGGUGAUGGGGAUGCGUCUGAUUAGGCAGUUGGCGGGGUAAAGGCCCACCAAACCGACGAUCAGUAGGGGUUCUGAGAGGAAGGUCCCCCACAUUGGAACUGAGACACGGUCCAAACUCCUACGGGAGGCAGCAGUGAGGAAUAUUGGUCAAUGGACGUAAGUCUGAACCAGCCAAGUAGCGUGCAGGAAGACGGCCCUAUGGGUUGUAAACUGCUUUUAUGCGGGGGUAAAGUGAGUGACGUGUCAUUCAUUGCAAGUACCGCAAGAAUAAGGACCGGCUAAUUCCGUGCCAGCAGCCGCGGUAAUACGGAAGGUCCUGGUGUUAUCCGGAUUUAUUGGGUUUAAAGGGAGCGUAGGCCGUCAGGCAAGCGUGUUGUGAAAUGUCGUGGCUCAACCACGGACUUGCAGCGCGAACUGCCCGACUUGAGUGCGCGGAAAGCAGGCGGAAUUUGUGGUGUAGCGGUGAAAUGCUUAGAUAUCACGAAGAACUCCGAUUG
rnacentral:rRNA from 1 species